GACGCCCUGCUCUCUUCCCCGCCUACCCUACACCGAGCCAACCCCGCGCCCUCCUUCCCUGCCUUCCCAGCCCAGCGCCACGCACUUCCUGCGAGCGGGCUCCGCAUCAGGACCAAACAUGGGAGAAGGCCGAGCCGGACGGCCUCAGAGGUGUUCCUGUCACAGUGCCACCUGCCAUGUUGUGACGCAGGCAAGCCCCCCUACAGAACCAGUGGGGACACCCAGUCUGAGACUUCCAACCUCCAAACCUGUGAGCUAAAUCAACCUCUCUUCUUGCCACCUUACUCAACCUCAAGUGUUUAGUUGUAACAACAGAAAAUGGACUAAUACGGUGCCGGAGGAGGGCAGCUGGGUUCAGUGGCUUCCAGCAUUCCUGUUGCCCUGCAUUCUAUGAUUUGACACACCCUUCAGUUCAAACAAGAGACAGGUCUGGUCACCAUACACCACGUAUACCACUCUUCCUCCACAGUGAAGAGCUCAUCCCCUGGCAGAGGGAUGCCCCACGUUCCCAGGAGAGUGGACUGUCUCUUCCUCCCCUCCCACCUGCUCCCUACCCUGCCCAGCCUCUGCUCCUUCCCCUAAACACACACACACACACACACACACACACACAAUGGAAACCUGAUAUCGGGCACUCUCGUUGUGUAUGCAUGGGUGGUGUUUUGGAGCACCUUACCUGGACGCUUCUCCAUCUGUGCCUUCCGGCUCCACUUCCAGCCGUCCUACCUUGCCUGCUGUUGCCUCUCAGUCUCUUCCUCUGGCUCCCCUUUCUUGCACUACCCUUAAACACUGGCUUCCUCCAAAAUUUUGACCUUGACCCUGCACCCUUCCCAUUUUCCAGGCCUUCUUAUGGCUUGUUUGUGCAGAUAGACUUUAUUUCUGCCCCUUCCUCCAAAUGCCAGGAUUUGUCAACCCAGUGGCCCAGGGCACAUCCUCAUCUACUUAAAAAUCACUGUGCCCCAAAUGGAACCCUUCAUCUUGCUCCCUAAACCUGCUUCUCCUUCUGCUUUUCUAUUCCAGGGAUUGGCAUCUCCUUUUCUCACGAUUCAGAAACUAGUUUUGCAGAGCCUCUCUUCUUCAUCUCCCACAUUCAUCUGACCAUAAAACCCAUCUUCUGCCUGAAAUAUCAGAGGAUUCUCUUUCCACUGCCACUGACUUUCUCUCCUGAAUACACUCAUACAGUAGCUUGUCUUCUGAUGGGGUGGCCCAGAGGCUGGUAUUCAUGUAAUGGUAAUGAAUAUUUGGUCCAUGAGUAAGCCUUGUCUCCGUCCAUCCUAGUGUCAACAUUGCUGCUGGUGGUUCUCUUCCCGAAUCCAGAGAUGAUUAUGUCUUUCCCCUGCUCAAAAACCUCCUUAACUCCCCAUAACCAAUAGGAUCAACCCCCCCCCUGCUGUUCAAUCUUACACAGAUUCCCCUCCCUUUCACUCCUUGCCCACCCGCCACCCAUGAUAAUAUCAGUUCCUGUGGUCUCCAAUUGCAUGGACAUAUCUGAUGCUUUGUGUCCUGCAUAUGUUGCCCUUUUAUCCUUUUAUCCUAUUCACCAUUGUUCAGCCUCUGGAAACCAGGAAUCACUAUUCUGGUCAUGAGCCACCAAAAUGAGUAUCUUAAAAUGAUAGCAAUUAUUUUAUUCCUGUGUCUCAUAGUUCUGCUUGAUGGGAUCAGGUGGGUGGUUCUUACUCCUGGUCUUACACCUUUGUAGUCAGACAUGGCUGGGGCUGAAGUUACCUUGAGGGCUUUCCCAUUCACACGUUCACAGGUCUGACCACGUCAGCUUGGCCUCAGCUGUGGCUGUGAACCAGAACACCUAUGUACUGUAGCCUCUGCAUGAGUCUUUGGCUUCCUCCCAACAUGGCAGCCAUAUUCCCAGAAUAAGCAUCCUGAGAGAGAAAUUGGCAGAAGCUCCUUGGCCAUGUCUAACUGACCUUGGGAAUCCUGCAGCAUAACUUCUGCUGUAUUCGACUCAUUGAGGUUGUCACCAGGGCCUGCCCAGAUUCAAAAGAGGACAGAGACUCCAUCUCAUGGAGAAGGCAUGGCGAGGUUCUGAGAGAGUGUGUGAAAUGGAAACUGUGCUGUGGCCACUUUGAAAAAAUACAACUUGACACAUGCAACAAGCCCUCCUCCUGGACGCCUAGGAUGCCCCUCUCCCUCCAGCUACCACGCCACCUGCCACCUCUCUUCCCUCCCCCCCACUCUGCCUUCCAACCUGGCUCCGUGAAGGCAGGGUCUAUAUUUCACUUAUUUUGUGCUUGGCACAUAGUUAGCACUUAUUAAAUGUUUGCAAGAUUAAUGACUGAAUAAGUGAAAGGCUGAGAGUGACCCUCAGCCUCUAGCAGGGAUGUUCUAUCCAGAGCUGGCGGGUUCUUCCUGGGCUGGUGAAGAUGGCCAGGGUCUCCAGCCGAAGCUGUCUCCCGCCCUGGCACACACACACACACACACACACACACACACACACAUACA